rnacentral:rRNA from 1 species
AUUGAACGCUGGCGGCAUGCUUUACACAUGCAAGUCGAACGGUAACAGGCCUUCGGGUGCUGACGAGUGGCGAACGGGUGAGUAAUGCAUCGGAACGUGCCCAGAGGUGGGGGAUAACGCAGCGAAAGCUGUGCUAAUACCGCAUGUGAUCUGAGGAUGAAACGGGGGACCCAGCCGCCAUGGUUGGCCUCGCGCCUCUGGAACGGCCGAUGUCAGAUUAGGUAGUUGGUGGGGUAAAGGCCUACCAAGCCGACGAUCUGUAGCUGGUCUGAGAGGACGACCAGCCACACUGGGACUGAGACACGGCCCAGACUCCUACGGGAGGCAGCAGUGGGGAAUUUUGGACAAUGGGCGCAAGCCUGAUCCAGCAAUGCCGCGUGCGGGAAGAAGGCCUUCGGGUUGUAAACCGCUUUUGUACGGAACGAAAAGGCUCUGGCUAAUACCUGGGGCUGAUGACGGUACCGUAAGAAUAAGCACCGGCUAACUACGUG